CCGAUCGAUAGCUCAUUUGGCAGAGCGGUGGACUGUAGAUCCAUAGGUCGCUGGUUCGACUCCGGCUCGGCGGA